CCUUCAGCGACCCAGUUGGCUUGUCUUUCUAGAUAUUAGCACAAUAAAUAUAAAUGGCAUCAGAACGUGAGGGGGCAGAGGCCACGUGAUCCCUCCACGAAAGCCACAUG
rnacentral:lncRNA from 1 species